rnacentral:lncRNA from 1 species
CAUAGAAACCACCCAAAGGUUUUUACUGAGAAAACACCGCUCAAGUUGCCUUUGUUGUAGUAUUGCAGGCACCUGAGGACAUUUUCUUUUGAGGUCUGAAUCUCCAAGGAGCACCUUCUUGUGUCACCUCGCAAUUGUCUCUUGGUCUGGGGGAUGAAGAGAAGAAGGAAGAGGCCUGCAGACAAACCUCAGAAACUGUCUCUCCUGUGACAAGUUCAGGGACCAUCAGGGACACAGAUACAUCUACCAGAGAGGCUAUUUCUCCACCUGCUGGUGAGCCUGGUGACUGUUCUCCUCAGGAGGACACUGAUGUGCUACCAGGAUUAUCUCUGCAAUCAGACACCUGCUUGGCAGUGGCUGAGGAUAACUCUUUGCCCACUGGGAAAGGUCUUGAUGUUGGAUUGCUGGAAACUCACCUGCUGCCCUCCCAGGAUCAAGACUCGAUAGAUCCCAAAUCACGCAUUUUCUCAGAUGCUCAAGAGCCUUCUUCUUCUGGACCCAAAGAAACUUCCCCCUGCCACGACGCUACCUCUGUAGCCGCCAUUUGUAUUUCGCUAGGAGUAAGAGCUGGUCACACAAGGCUGGGAGUUCACAGCUCAGAGGCACGUGAACACAACUGGGCUGCAGGGGGGACUCCAGCACAGAGCUUCCCACAUGGAAGAGCCACGGCAGAGGGCACUUCACAGACACUCUUGCCGGGGAAACCUUCAUCUGGACAAGCAAUUUCAGGUUUGGGUCCACUGGACUCAACUGGGAAAACUCAUCUUGAAAUACCAACUUUAGGACCAAGUUCAACAAGUUCACACCAAGAAGAAGGGAAGCAGCUGGCAGUUUUUCCUUCCAGGGCCCAGUACGGGAGUGGAGAAAUGGCCGCCCCCUCCCCUCCUGCAGGAAGUCACGGUGGGAAAAGUCAAGCAUCCGGAUCAAUCAUUCUGAAGGCUUGCGUGGCCCCUUCUAAACCAGGGCGGCCUCCAGAAGUCCCUGAAGCCCCGUCUAAAUCCAUCAGGAAGAGGAGUUUGGAAGGGAUGAGAAAGCAGACUCGGGUGGAGCUGAGUGACACCAGCAGCGAUGAUGAAGACCGACUGGUCAUAGAAAUAUGACACUUCUGGCGAAAGAUGACAUCUAUGAUCACGGACUGUUGAUGCUUCGCAAGUAAGUGUCACCAGCUGAUAGACUCCCUGAACUCUAUUUAUGAAACACCCGUGGAUCAGGAAAGCCAUUUUGUGUUCCUUGGAAGCCAAAUCCAACCAACUCCAAACCUCCAAUUCGGCCACACCCUUUCCUGGCUCCUCUGGGCCUGGUUGCUUUCACCUGAUGCACGUGGGACAAAGGUGGCCCAUGAAGCACAUUUGAAGACAUGUACACUGAACACAGUGACUGGGCCUUGACUUGCAGCCCCGUGCUCAGCAUCAGCCCCCCGGAUGACCUCACUCAGGUAGCAUGGCAUUAGCAGAGAGAGCCACAGCGACAUGUUUGCUGACAAGCAGACUCCGCUGAGCAGCGCAACGGACUUCUCCAUGAGUGGGCUGAGGGUUUGCUUCCAAGUGGGAAGCAUGCUUGGGAUUAUUGGGGUAGUUUGAAAGAAAGAUGGGGUGUGUGAAUUGAGCCUGAAGAUAUUUCUGUUCAUUCUGGAGACAAAAUUCAGAAUCAUUAAAAAACUGGUUUGGUUGGAGUAAUCCUCUCCUGAGUUGAAGUUGUAAAUACGUCUCAAAACGCCUAUUUGGUGACAUGCUGAUAUUUUUUAAGUGUUGCACAAAUGGCCAAUGCUCGUGUAUGGUCAAAUACCACAAGCACGUACUGUCCCAUACCUGGUGCUGGUUCUGUGAGACCCUUGAGGCCAUUGGUUUUGUUUUGUUUUUUUAACUCUUGCAAAAGGACGCUGUGUUAAAAGUCAAUAGAACAGUCUCUCUGUAAUGAGUCAUUUUUUGGGGGGGAAAAACUCACUUAUUUUCCUCUGAUUCUUUUUGUCAUAUUGUGCUCUGAGCGAUUUCAAUUAGGGGUUACGUUUUGUAAUCUGUGUAGCUUGAAUUGAUGCCUGCUCCUCGUGACGGGAGCCUUUUAGACUUCCUCCAGAAGCUUCAAGGAUACAAAACUAAUUGGAGUUUUGACGCUGUUUUCCAUCUCGGUAAUUUUAUUUUGGGGGCUUGGUGUUACUUCGCUGUCAAAUUAAAUCAGCCUCUGUAUUGUGCAAAUCGGAACAGCACAGAUAAAAUUCCUCAGUAUUGCAAGCCAGUGCACCCCUGUGCUGAGGAAAAUAGCAGAUCUACGUCAGCCGGCCCACUGAGCUGAGCCUCAGAUUUCCUGCCUUCCUCUCCCUCUCCUUAAAUGGGAAAGGAAAAAGUUAUACAAGUUUAUACUGCUGCAUUUCAAUAAAAUUUUGUACUUGCUUUUGGUAUGAUUUUGUACAAUUUGAAAUUUAUAGCCAAGCUCUUUUGGCUUAACUUUGGUGUGAUGUUGUUCACACGACUUCUUGUACUUCAAAGGCAAGGCGGCAAUGCAAAACCUCUCACACAUCUGAAAAUACUUUAAUAAGUCCUUCCUGUGACUAAGUAUGGUCCAGCUUCCAUCUCUUCAUGUGAAUUUUACAAUUUUUGGUGUUAUUCAUAGAAAACUUCAAUGCAAGACCAGCUUCCCCCAGUUACUUAGUAUGUCUGUGGUCAUUUCAUGCACACUCAUAAAUAUCCUAGCUAAUAACAACAUAAAAAGGGAGGUGAAAAGAACGUUCGACACAAACUUGGUAUACUUUUAAAACCAAACAAAACCAAGCUGUGAUUCUUUACCCUUUGAAAGAUCUACACCACUGUAAUGAGAGAGGCAGAGUAGGGAAGCAGCCUGAGACCCAGAGGGAGACAGCAGCAACUCUGGCUGCCUCAACCUGGGAAAUCAUAGGGAAGACUGUCCCUGUACCCCAGUUUCCUUAAAUAAGAAAGAGUUGAGCAUGCUGAGCUGAAUGAAAGUCUCCCCGGGUUCCAAUCCUGGUGAGAGUUUAUGACAGAGAAGGUGCCCUUCCAUUUAAAUAUACAGCUUCCUUGGCUUGGAGAUGUUCCCCAGGGGAAAACAUUGCCCAGGGUUAUUGCAUGGGGGAAAUUUGGGUGGGGAUUGUGAAGAACUGAAACACAGCCACCUUCAGGGAACUACUGCUAUGCAGAAUGCGAGCUUAAUGAAGCUCCAUCUAAUUUUUCUCCAGAGUCCCAGACAUUGGGGUGCAGUCAGACAGCUUAUAAAUGUUGGCUCACAAUUCAAAAAGUAAAAAGCAAAACCAGAACACUAAUCUGUGAGUGGAAGGAAACAUAUCUAUACGUUGACUUGGCUAUUUUUUCUUGGGAGACACUGGUCAGGGUAGAAAACAAUCCUCCAGAUCCUUCUAUCCUGAAUUGUCAACAGGAUCAUUGAACCCAAAUCAGUAAGUCACAGCUCUAAAUAACUCUGACUCGGGGUAGCCCUGGAAACUGUGUCGUCCUAUGAGCCACCAGGGCUGGAUGCCAUAGCUGAACCUUGAACCAACAUGGCAGAAUGUUGAUUACAUCUCCUUAACAACCUUUGUCGCUUAGGCAGUUUGUAGCCUGUUUCACCUGUCCAUUUAGCUACUACGUGGCAGUGUCCCCAAGUGUAACUUACUUUAUAUGAACAAGAAUUUGUGACAAGCUAUAUUUCAAAGGAUUUUUUUAAAAAUAAUUGACCCUAGGGGAGCUGGCUGGGGAAGGUAUCCCAAAGUAAAAUUUUUUUUUCCAAAGUAAAAUUUUUGUUUGUUUUUUGUUGUGGGUUUUUUGUUUGUUCUGCUUUGUUUUUUGGAUAGGGUCUAGCUAAGCCCAGGGCUGGGAUUGAAUUCAUAAUCCUCCAGUCUCAGCCUCCCUAGUAGCUAGGAUUACAGAAGUAUGGUCCUGGGUAAGAUUAAUUUUUCCAGUGGAGAAUUCUUUUGUAAAGCAACAAUCUCUGAUUUUUAUAAACCUAAUUUUCCUAUGGGUUUUCUUAAAGUGAAAUGCAAUUAUAGGAAUACAUUUGAAGGGUAACACCAGCAACCCACAACCCAAUUUGAGUUAUGGAAAAUAAAAUUUCAGUAUUAUCAAUUGUUAAUUAAUUACUGCAGUUUUACCUGCUACAAGUGCAUAUUGUGUGAUGGUUAAGGGAAAAGAAAUUUUAUUUUAGAACAAAGCAAGCCAGAAUUUAAAGACCAGAGAUUUUCUCUUUUCCCAGUGCUGUUAAUUUUAUUGUCUUUUCAGCUAAGGCUCUUCACUAACUGGUGCCUCAGCUUCCUAUGGAGAAUAGCGCUAGGGAUGUGGACAUAGACUGUAGUGAAGGACCCUUUGGCUUCUUUGCCAUGCUCUCAAGGCAUGGUAGGCAAUACCAAGGCUGGCCACUGGUUCGUCUCUUUAAUUCUACCUAUGCCUGGCCUCAUCUCACAUAAGAUGUGUGGAGGAGAGCGCUCUCGCCUCCUCCCCUAGCAACAUAAACUAUUAACUGACUCUUAAAGUCAUGCGGGUUUUGUGGGCAACCUGGUCCACCUUGUUUCAAAGCGUGAUGAAGAACAGCUCACCCUUCCUGUUAGAUAUAAUCUUUGGAAUUCUAGAUAAAACUAAUAUUCCCUUGGUUCAUACCUCCCAGCAACCAGGAGAAACUGUGAUUCAUUUGCUAAGUCAUCCAAACGAUGGGUGGAGUGUUUCUGGUUUCACAUGAAAACAUGGCCAAUUGCUUGGUGAGCAACCUAGAGCAAGCUAGACUUUCCCUUCCUAAAAUCGCCCUUCCAAAGCUGAGAUUGGAAGAGUAGCCUUGCAAAGUGCAUUGUGACCACUAUCCUGGGCAUGAAAGAUAAAUUAUUUGCAGCCUCAUGCUAAAAAGUAUUUCCUUGCAUUUACAUUCUUUACUUAGGAGGAUAACAUUAUUCAUUUUUCCCCCAGCAUAGAAAUUUGCAUUUUACACAAGAUUCGCCUGGUGCAGCAGAUUUUUAUAGUUAUGGAAACUGUCAUCAUUAUGGAAAUGUGCUGCUGCUCAACUCCUCAGACAUAAUUUAAUAUGGGGAGGAGAAAAUGGCCUGCCUGGCUCUAUGGAUGAUCAUAUUUCUACUACUAUAGCAAGCAGAGCUUGGGUAUUUUUCUGCACACUAGUUGUUAUUCCCAUAGUUUGUGUGAGAGAGACAUUUUGGCUUUUGAGACACUACAUUUCUCCAUCUUUAAGCACAAUUUCUUGUCUUUAUCUUUCAGAACUCAUUAAAUAUUGGUGUCAAGAUAUAGAAAAUCUGGUGUGCUAGAUCUACCUUGUAUGAUUCUUUUCACCCAUGCUUUGUACUUAUGUGAGAAUAUACAUAGUUUGGUCUGAAGAAGUAUAAGAACAUUUGAAGACAUUACUUCACCAUUGGAAGAAAUGGAGACAGGAAAAAUCAUCAGCUGCUGUCACUUGGAGCUCUUGAGGGUGACUUACUCUCUCACAUAUGCAGUCAACUGUCGGGACUCACUACUCACUGCUUGUUCAUAAUCAGGGAAGCAAUUGGCUUCUUGGCUGUUUGUUGAAAUUUACUUCUUUAUGUGGUUAAACUAUUUUGUUUUGAUAAAAAUAAAACUUAGAGUAAAAAUAACUUGUGUGACUUGUUAACAUUUUAACUGAACAAACAAUAUCUUGUAAAAUUUGGGUAUCUGAUUAUUCCUAACUAGCUUACCAGACAACCCGUCCACUAUGUUGGUAUCCCAUUCUGCUCAACAAAAGGAUUAGGAAAUAGUGAAUUAUCACAUUUUCUUGAGCUGUUUCUUUUUCUCAUGUGCUUUGUUUGUCAUUAUCUUUCAUAUUUUAUAGUUUGUAGCAUAG